rnacentral:rRNA from 1 species
GACGAACGCUGGCGGCGUGCCUAAUACAUGCAAGUAGAACGCUGAAGGAGGAGCUUGCUUCUCUGGAUGAGUUGCGAACGGGUGAGUAACGCGUAGGUAACCUACCUGGUAGCGGGGGAUAACUAUUGGAAACGAUAGCUAAUACCGCAUAAGAGUAGAUGUCGCAUGACAUUUGCUUAAAAGGUGCAAUUGCAUCACUACCAGAUGGACCUGCGUUGUAUUAGCUAGUUGGUGAGGUAACGGCUCACCAAGGCAACGAUACAUAGCCGACCUGAGAGGGUGAUCGGCCACACUGGGACUGAGACACGGCCCAGACUCCUACGGGAGGCAGCAGUAGGGAAUCUUCGGCAAUGGACGGAAGUCUGACCGAGCAACGCCGCGUGAGUGAAGAAGGUUGUCGGAUCGUAAAGCUCUGUCGUAAGAGAAGAACGAGUGUGAGAGUGGAAAGUUCACACUGUGACGGUAUCUUACCAGAAAGGGACGGCUAACUACGUG